ACCCUUGUGGAGGAGGACGCCGAAGGUGGGGCUAAUGACUGGGGUGAAGUCGUAACAAGGUAGCCGUACCGGAAGGUGCGGCUGGAUCACCUCCUAACAGGGAGACAACAAAAUGUUAAAUAUUAAUUUUGUCACCUUAGGUCGAUCGGUAUCUCACAUUCUUAUUUUUUAAGGAUUUUAUUUCCUAAGUUUUUUUCUAGGUCACACCCAUUACUUUCCCUGGGCCAUUAGCUCAGGUGGUUAGAGCGCACCCCUGAUAAGGGUGAGGUCCCUGGUUCAAGUCCAGGAUGGCCCAUAUCUCUAUGUUGGGGGUAUAGCUCAGUUGGUAGAGCGCCUGCUUUGCAAGCAGGAUGUCAGCGGUUCGAGUCCGCUUACCUCCACUGAUCACCACCUCUUCCAUAAAUUUACAGAUGGGAAAUGUUUUGAGUUGUGAUCAAAUUCUGAACGAAUCUAGCUUCCUAAUUAACCUUAUUAAGAUGCUGGACUCAUUGAAUUAAUUUCAUUGUUUUCAGAGAACCUUGACAACUGCAUAGAUUAUUUUUAAAGACAAUAAGCAUCUUUAAUGAUGCAGAUUUAUUAUUUGUGCGAAAGCAUUAAUAACAAUUCUAUUAAGCUGAUGCUUCAAUUUUUGAAGUUAUUGGUCAAGCUACAAAGGGCUCACGGAGGAUACCUAGGCACACAGAG
rnacentral:misc_RNA from 1 species